rnacentral:rRNA from 1 species
UACGUAGGGUGCGAGCGUUGUCCGGAAUUAUUGGGCGUAAAGAGCUCGUAGGCGGUUUGUCGCGUCGACUGUGAAAACCCGAGGCUUAACCUCGGGCCUGCAGUCGAUACGGGCAGGCUCGAGUUCGGUAGGGGAGACUGGAAUUCCUGGUGUAGCGGUGAAAUGCGCAGAUAUCAGGAGGAACACCGGUGGCGAAGGCGGGUCUCUGGGCCGAUACUGACGCUGAGGAGCGAAAGCGUGGGGAGCGAACAGG